rnacentral:lncRNA from 1 species
CAACUCUAGUGAGACUAGCAAGUUGCUCUUCUCAAAGGGAACGUACCCUUUGACUCCCAAAGAAAUAAUGCGUAAAUAGAAUCCUUUAUGCAUACGCAAAAAGGUGAUUUAUGUAUUUCAUAUUGUAUGAAAAACAUUAAUAUGAGUUGUACCUAGAACGGUACAAGACGAUAUCAGUGCAAGCCCAGGAUCAAAACCAUGGCAACUGUCAAGUGAGUCCUUAAGUAUUUAAGAAAUACUAAAGGAUAGAUUCCU